rnacentral:tRNA from 1 species
GGCGAGAUGGCCGAGCGGUCUAAGGCGCCAGACUAAGGUUAUUUGUCAUGACUGAUACAUCUAUCUGGUCCGAAAGGGCGUGGGUUCGAAUCCCACUCUCGUCA